CUCUUCCGUAGGGGGAACCUGCGGAGGGAUCAUUACACAAUAUGUAAGGCGGGCUGGACACCCUCCAGCCGGGCACUGCUUCACGGCGUGCGCGGCUGGAGCCGGCCCUGCUGAAUUAUUCACCCGUGUCUUUUGCGUACUUCUUGUUUCCUGGGUGGGCUCGCCCGCCAUCAGGACCAACCAUAAACCUUUUUGUAAUAGCAAUCAGCGUCAGUAACAACGUAAUUAAUUACAACUUUCAACAACGGAUCUCUUGGUUCUGGCAUCGAUGAAGAACGCAGCGAAAUGCGAUACGUAGUGUGAAUUGCAGAAUUCAGUGAAUCAUCGAAUCUUUGAACGCACAUUGCGCCCUUUGGUAUUCCAAAGGGCAUGCCUGUUCGAGCGUCAUUUGUACCCUCAAGCUUUGCUUGGUGUUGGGCGUCUUUUGUCUCCAGCUCGCUGGAGACUCGCCUUAAAGUCAUUGGCAGCCGGCCUACUGGUUUCGGAGCGCAGCACAAGUCGCGCUCUUGCCCAGCCAAGGUCAGCGUCCAGCAAGCCUUUUUUCAACCUUUGACCUCGGAUCAGGUAGGGAUACCCGCUGAACUUAAGCAUAUCAAAGGCCGGAGGAA
rnacentral:rRNA from 1 species